rnacentral:rRNA from 1 species
GAGUUUGAUCUUGGCUCAGAUUGAACGCUGGCGGCAUGCCUUACACAUGCAAGUCGAACGGCAGCAUGAUCUAGCUUGCUAGAUUGAUGGCGAGUGGCGAACGGGUGAGUAAUACAUCGGAACGUGCCCUGUAGUGGGGGAUAACUAGUCGAAAGAUUAGCUAAUACCGCAUACGACCUGAGGGUGAAAGUGGGGGACCGCAAGGCCUCAUGCUAUAGGAGCGGCCGAUGUCUGAUUAGCUAGUUGGUGGGGUAAAGGCCCACCAAGGCGACGAUCAGUAGCUGGUCUGAGAGGACGAUCAGCCACACUGGGACAGAGACACGGCCCAGACUCCUACGGGAGGCAGCAGUGGGGAAUUUGGACAAUGGGCGAAAGCCUGAUCCAGCAAUGCCGCGUGUGUGAAGAAGGCC